UGUCUAUUUUACAUGUACAAUGGCCAUUGAGCUAUGUGGAUUUGUUGAAUGCACCUGAUUCGCCCAUGGAUCAAGAGAGGGCGGAGGUAAUAGCAACAUUUUCUCCAUUGAUGUUUGGCCAUAACGUGGAUCCCUAUAAUUUUGUCUUCAAGAAAACUCUUAAGAGUGGCAAGAAGAGGAGAGUGAAGACAUUAGCUCCGAGAUCAGCCGAUGAGCCAUCUGCAGAACUACGUACUGCAUCGAAGAGGCUUGAUUUUGAUGAUCCAUCACAAGUUUAGGAUCAUAUAGUGUUAGUUGUGGUCAUAGAAUGACCAAUACAUGUAGAUAUAUUCUACAUUUUUAUUGUAUAUUGAU